UACGUGGUGACUUUACCGAAAGAACCAAGAACAUGAAUCCCUGCAGUCACGAAAGCUUUAAAUCAAAAUUUCAAUAUGCCCCUGUUUUGGCACGCACAUAAAAAAACACGGUUUUCAUUCUUUCACGGGCGUGACGGAUAUGUGUGCGAGCAUCUACACCGCGCUUGCGCGACCGCCACGGAUGAACACGAACCGCGCGAACGCAAAGGCGGCGUCGGCGCCGCCUCGCAAACGCGGAUCGCUUCGCAGGCCUCCAGCGGCGUUUGCCUCGGACUGCAUCGCCAUUUGACGAGACAAGAAAUAUUGGAGGCUCUCCGCGUUCGCCCGCUGUGCGGGAGUACGGCGAUUCAUCGUCGGAGCCAAGGACGAGGGUGCACACAAAGUUCCCGAUUACGUGGAACAGAGGUCAUCGCAAAGUCGCACGUGGAGAGACUUUCCUACGGCUCCCAGCCUCCCCGUGGCGCGCAUUGGUUAGCGCACUGAACUUACAAUCCAGAGCCCCGGCAGGUUCUAUUCAUUGGGAAAAAGACAAACAAACUCUACGCGCUGGAGCAGAAUAUGCAUUCAUGCUGUCUGCACGCCAAAGCUUCUUGGCUUUGGAUAUGGUGCCCAUUUCAUGAAGUUCCAAAGGGGUGAUCGUGAUGAUGAAUGUUUAUGACCACGAUGAUGAUAACGAAGGUGACUAUGGUGAUGGUGAUGAAGAUAACUAUGGUGAGUAUGGUGAUGAUGGUGAUGA